rnacentral:rRNA from 1 species
GGGUUGUGAGGUUAAGCGACUAAGCGUACACGGUGGAUGCCCUGGCAGUCAGAGGCGAUGAAGGACGUGCUAAUCUGCGAUAAGCGUCGGUAAGGUGAUAUGAACCGUUAUAACCGGCGAUUUCCGAAUGGGGAAACCCAGUGUGUUUCGACACACUAUCAUUAACUGAAUCCAUAGGUUAAUGAGGCGAACCGGGGGAACUGAAACAUCUAAGUACCCCGAGGAAAAGAAAUCAACCGAGAUUCCCCCAGUAGCGGCGAGCGAACGGGGAGCAGCCCAGAGCCUGAAUCAGUGUGUGUGUUAGUGGAAGCGUCUGGAAAGGCGCGCGAUACAGGGUGACAGCCCCGUACACAAAAAUGCACAUACUGUGAGCUCGAUGAGUAGGGCGGGACACGUGGUAUCCUGUCUGAAUAUGGGGGGACCAUCCUCCAAGGCUAAAUACUCCUGACUGACCGAUAGUGAACCAGUACCGUGAGGGAAAGGCGAAAAGAACCCCGGCGAGGGGAGUGAAAAAGAACCUGAAACCGUGUACGUACAAGCAGUGGGAGCCUCUUAAUGGGGUGACUGCGUACCUUUUGUAUAAUGGGUCAGCGACUUAUAUUCUGUAGCAAGGUUAACCGAAUAGGGGAGCCGAAGGGAAACCGAGUCUUAACUGGGCGUUAAGUUGCAGGGUAUAGACCCGAAACCCGGUGAUCUAGCCAUGGGCAGGUUGAAGGUUGGGUAACACUAACUGGAGGACCGAACCGACUAAUGUUGAAAAAUUAGCGGAUGACUUGUGGCUGGGGGUGAAAGGCCAAUCAAACCGGGAGAUAGCUGGUUCUCCCCGAAAGCUAUUUAGGUAGCGCCUCGUGAAUUCAUCUCCGGGGGUAGAGCACUGUUUCGGCAAGGGGGUCAUCCCGACUUACCAACCCGAUGCAAACUGCGAAUACCGGAGAAUGUUAUCACGGGAGACACACGGCGGGUGCUAACGUCCGUCGUGAAGAGGGAAACAACCCAGACCGCCAGCUAAGGUCCCAAAGUCAUGGUUAAGUGGGAAACGAUGUGGGAAGGCCCAGACAGCCAGGAUGUUGGCUUAGAAGCAGCCAUCAUUUAAAGAAAGCGUAAUAGCUCACUGGUCGAGUCGGCCUGCGCGGAAGAUGUAACGGGGCUAAACCAUGCACCGAAGCUGCGGCAGCGACACUAUGUGUUGUUGGGUAGGGGAGCGUUCUGUAAGCCUGUGAAGGUGUACUGUGAGGUAUGCUGGAGGUAUCAGAAGUGCGAAUGCUGACAUAAGUAACGAUAAAGCGGGUGAAAAGCCCGCUCGCCGGAAGACCAAGGGUUCCUGUCCAACGUUAAUCGGGGCAGGGUGAGUCGACCCCUAAGGCGAGGCCGAAAGGCGUAGUCGAUGGGAAACAGGUUAAUAUUCCUGUACUUGGUGUUACUGCGAAGGGGGGACGGAGAAGGCUAUGUUGGCCGGGCGACGGUUGUCCCGGUUUAAGCGUGUAGGCUGAUUUUCCAGGCAAAUCCGGAAAAUCAAGGCUGAGGCGUGAUGACGAGGCACUACGGUGCUGAAGCAACAAAUGCCCUGCUUCCAGGAAAAGCCUCUAAGCAUCAGGUAACAUCAAAUCGUACCCCAAACCGACACAGGUGGUCAGGUAGAGAAUACCAAGGCGCUUGAGAGAACUCGGGUGAAGGAACUAGGCAAAAUGGUGCCGUAACUUCGGGAGAAGGCACGCUGAUAUGUAGGUGAAGUCCCUCGCGGAUGGAGCUGAAAUCAGUCGAAGAUACCAGCUGGCUGCAACUGUUUAUUAAAAACACAGCACUGUGCAAACACGAAAGUGGACGUAUACGGUGUGACGCCUGCCCGGUGCCGGAAGGUUAAUUGAUGGGGUUAGCGGUAACGCGAAGCUCUUGAUCGAAGCCCCGGUAAACGGCGGCCGUAACUAUAACGGUCCUAAGGUAGCGAAAUUCCUUGUCGGGUAAGUUCCGACCUGCACGAAUGGCGUAAUGAUGGCCAGGCUGUCUCCACCCGAGACUCAGUGAAAUUGAACUCGCUGUGAAGAUGCAGUGUACCCGCGGCAAGACGGAAAGACCCCGUGAACCUUUACUAUAGCUUGACACUGAACAUUGAGCCUUGAUGUGUAGGAUAGGUGGGAGGCUUUGAAGUGUGGACGCCAGUCUGCAUGGAGCCGGCCUUGAAAUACCACCCUUUAAUGUUUGAUGUUCUAACGUUGGCCCCUUACCGGGGUUGCGGACAGUGUCUGGUGGGUAGUUUGACUGGGGCGGUCUCCUCCUAAAGAGUAACGGAGGAGCACGAAGGUUGGCUAAUCCUGGUCGGACAUCAGGAGGUUAGUGCAAUGGCAUAAGCCAGCUUGACUGCGAGCGUGACGGCGCGAGCAGGUGCGAAAGCAGGUCAUAGUGAUCCGGUGGUUCUGAAUGGAAGGGCCAUCGCUCAACGGAUAAAAGGUACUCCGGGGAUAACAGGCUGAUACCGCCCAAGAGUUCAUAUCGACGGCGGUGUUUGGCACCUCGAUGUCGGCUCAUCACAUCCUGGGGCUGAAGUAGGUCCCAAGGGUAUGGCUGUUCGCCAUUUAAAGUGGUACGCGAGCUGGGUUUAGAACGUCGUGAGACAGUUCGGUCCCUAUCUGCCGUGGGCGCUGGAGAACUGAGGGGGCUGCUCCUAGUACGAGAGGACCGGAGUGGACGCAUCACUGGUGUUCGGGUUGUCAUGCCAAUGGCACUGCCCGGUAGCUAAAUGCGGAAGAGAUAAGUGCUGAAAGCAUCUAAGCACGAAACUUGCCCCGAGAUGAGUUCUCCCUGACUCUUUAAGGGUCCUGAAGGAACGUUGAAGACGACGACGUUGAUAGGCCGGGUGUGUAAGCGCAGCGAUGCGUUGAGCUAACCGGUACUAAUGAACCGUGAGGCUUAACCUUACAACGCCGAAG